rnacentral:lncRNA from 1 species
UGUGAUCUAAUCAUUUUGUGUCGAUCUAAUUGUUAAGAGUUUGAAAUUGAUAGAUCUAGGUUUCGCUUUUUUAGAUCCGAUUGUUAUCGAUUCAUAUUCUAGAUUUGAUCUUUUGUUUGAAUCUAAUUGAUCGUGUGAUCUGUUUUAAAUCACCUAUAACAACUAGAUCUACUUGUGUGUCGUCGAAAUCUGAUUAACAAACCUACCUUGAUCGCGUUUCUAUUGUGAUUUUCAAGUUGUCGAUUUGAAUCCUCCUUUGCUUGAUAAUCAAGUUUUCUUUUACCGCCAGUUAUUUUCAGUUUAAAAUCUCUU